rnacentral:rRNA from 1 species
CCUACGGGUGGCAGCAGUGGGGAAUCUUGCACAAUGGGCGCAAGCCUGAUGCAGCCACGCCGCGUGAAUGAAGAAGGCCUUCGGGUUGUAAAGUACUUUCAGCGGGGAGGAAGGUGCAGUGGGUUAUAACCACAGCAAUUGACGUUACCCGCAGAAGAAGCCCCGGAGAACGCCGUGCCAGCAGCCGAGGUAAUACGGAGGGUGCAAGCGUUAAUCGGGAUUGCUGGGCGUAAAGCGCACGCAGGCCGUAAGUUAAGUCAGAUGUGAAAUCCCGGGGCUCAACCUGGGAACUGCAUUUGAAACUAGAAGGCUGGAGUACAGGAGAGGCAGGUAGAAUUCCUGGUGUAGCGGUGAAAUGCGUAGAGAUCUGGAGGAAUACCGGUGGCGAAGGCGGCCCCCUGGACUGAGACUGACGCUGAGGUGCGAAAGCGUGGGGAGCAAACAGGAGUAGAUACCCCAGUAGUC